UAGGGAAACCGAGUCUUAACCGGGCGUUAAGUUGCAGGGUAUAGACCCGAAACCCGGUGAUCUAGCCAUGGGCAGGUUGAAGGUUGGGUAACACUAACUGGAGGACCGAACCGACUAAUGUUGAAAAAUUAGCGGAUGACCUGUGGCUGGGGGUGAAAGGCCAAUCAAACCGGGAGAUAGCUGGUUCUCCCCGAAAGCUAUUUAGGUAGCGCCUCGUGAAUUCAUCUCCGGGGGUAGAGCACUGUUUCGGCUAGGGGGCCAUCCCGGCUUACCAACCCGAUGCAAACUGCGAAUACCGGAGAAUGUUAUCACGGGAGACACACGGCGGGUGCUAACGUCCGUCGUGAAGAGGGAAACAACCCAGACCGCCAGCUAAGGUCCCAAAGUCAUGGUUAAGUGGGAAACGAUGUGGGAAGGCCCAGACAGCCAGGAUGUUGGCUUAGAAGCAGCCAUCAUUUAAAGAAAGCGUAAUAGCUCACUGGUCGAGUCGGCCUGCGCGGAAGAUGUAACGGGGCUAAACCAUGCACCGAAGCUGCGGCAGCGA
rnacentral:rRNA from 1 species